GACGAACGCUGGCGGCGCGCUUAACACAUGCAAGUCGAACGGAAAGGCCUGCUUUCCCUUGUGGAUUGCGGGUACUCGAGUGGCGAACGGGUGAGUAACACGUGAGUGAUCUGCCCCCAACUUGGGUAUAAGCCUGGGAAACUGGGUCUAAUUCCCGAUAGGACUGCAGGGUGGUGCCUGUGGUGGAAAACGAUUUUCUAGUGGUUGGGGAUGAGCUCGCGGCCUAUCAGCUUGUUGGUGGGGUAAUGGCCUACCAAGGCGGCGACGGGUAGCCGGCCUGAGAGGGUGGACGGCCACAUUGGGACUGGGAUACGGCCCAGACUCCUACGGGAGGCAGCAGUGGGGAAUAUUGCACAAUGGGCGGAAGCCUGAUGCAGCGACGCCGCGUGGGGGAUGACGGCCUUCGGGUUGUAAACUCCUUUCGACCGCGAGGAAGCCACCUGGUUGGAGGGGUGGUGACGGUAGUGGUAGAAGAAGCACCGGCUAACUACGUG
rnacentral:rRNA from 1 species